AAUGAAGUCGUCAGGAGCUCAAACCAAAGACAUGAUAAAGGCUUUUAAUCUUCUUGAAAAUGCCUGUCACGAGGUGCUCAUUUAAACAACUCAAGACAGAGAGUCUAUAGAGAGAAACAACAGUCUGUUCUGAUGAACAGAAAACACGUCACACCGUCAGGCUCCUGCAGUCACACACUUCAGCUCAUGUCAGCAUGACCUGAACACUGCUUUCACUCAGGUCCAGUGUAACAUGCUGCACACAGCUGCGAUUCUUCUGCUGUAGGGUUUAAAAUAUUACAUGGACCAGCAGCAUGGAAAAGCUUGUUUAGUGGAUGAUGGUGUGCAGAUCAACGGUAAUUCAGCACUGAUGCACUAGACUAGAUGCUUUGUGUGAGUUAUUCUCUAAACAUCUUCCCUAUAGGCCUUCCUGCCAUUUCAACACAUACUACUCAAAACUGGCAUAUUGUGAUGCUCUUGAGUUUGUGAUUCCCUCAGUUUGCUUCUGAAGAGCUAUACAGCAUGUGAGCGGGAUAAAGUAGUGUUCUACUCAUUUUUGCAGCGUGACAGCCUCAGAUCUCCUAUCAUCGUUUGGACAAAACAUCUGUGUUUCCCAAAAGAAAUCAAAUCCCAACUCUGUCUUUUAUACUGACAGGUUUCAGAGAGGCAGAAAGCACAGAUCACCCUCCAUUAGUAGCACUGAAACCCCGUGUUCAUGCACUAGUUUGUCUUCUCUGCUCUGAUAACAACAGAAAGCACACAGAGAAGCAGCGGCUCUCUCGAGUUCAGAGGUCAGUCAGUGAAGCAUUAACCAGCCGCCGUAAAUCCCUCUAAAUCAUCACGGGUUUCAGCUUUCCCUCAGAGCUCAAAGUCCAGCUCCAGAGACCGAGCUGAUGUCCUCUCCAGCGGCGUUUCUGAACGAGCUCCCGGGAUGGUUCCUGUGGACGGGAGUCUUCUUCCCCGUGACGGCUCUCCUGCUGCUGCUCAUCGCUGUCCUCAGCUGGAAACUCAGAGAGACAGAGGAAGAGCUGGCCGUGACACCAGACCCUCGGCAGACAGCCUAUCAUCUGUGUUACGGGCCGCGCUGCAGACACAGGACAGAGCGCACAAGACGAGCACGAAACAGAUCACCUGUGAAGAGUCAGUCCAGAUCACCUGAGCCAGAGACGUGUCAGCAGAAGCAUGCAUGUGACCACAUCAAGAUUUAGACGCACCUCUCCUCACACAACAGACUGCUGAAGUCAUGAGACAUGCAUAUUAUUUAAAAAGAAAACUGUUUCCAUGUAGUCUGCUGUCACUGGUAAAGUCUGUACUUCAUCUUCAGAUUAUCCUACUCAACUACAUCAGAAACGACAUGAGUGUCAAAGAAGUCUGAGGACACAUCGUCACACUUGAGGCUUCAACUUUAUCAAGAGAAAUGAGCAAAAACCAUAAAGAGACAGAAAUCUCCUGUUCUGCGCUAUAAUUAAUGGAGCCGCACAGCAGGAUGAACUUAAAGAGGACGCCGUGUCUCACAGCAGGACACAAAAACAGCUUGUACGCUCUCAGACAUCACAAAACUCUCAAGGUCUUGUAAGGUUUUGGUUUUAUUUCACAGCUCUCCUUAUUCUGAUUGUUCAGUCGCAGCACAGCGACUGACAGAAAUAAAAACGGCCUCGGGAGAACUUCAGUAUUAACAAAAACACUGAAAACAAUGCAUGUGAAUCAUAUAUAAAUGAAUAUUGUAAUAUUUUUGUUGUUGUAGUUGACUAUCACUCAUGCGUAUAUUUCAGCUUCCAGCCAAAGUCUCUUUAUUUUAUUGACCAAUGCAAAUUUUAACAUACAUUUGGAGCUUGGCAAGAAUUAAAGGUGCAUUCAGCA